UUGCUUUUGUAAUUAUUGGACCAAUAGUAGUACUUCCGUAUUGCAAUUUGCAAAAUACAGUCCAAAUAAAAAUCAACGUAAUUUUUUCCAGGUAAUCAAAUCGACCGGGCUCCAACAACUUCGGCAACCAGAAUCAACCUUCAGGCACCAAUUUCAACCAGUUCGGUCAGAGCCGACCAGGAAGCAACGACUUUGGCAACCAAAACCUGCCCUCAGGCACCAAUUUCAAUCAAAACCGACCCGGAAGCAACAACUUCGGCAACCAAAACCUGCCCUCGGGCGCCAAUUCUAAUCAGUUCGGUCAGAACCGACCAGGAACCAACGAUUUUAGCAAUCAGAACCUGCCUUCAGGCACCAACUCCAACCAGUUUGGCCAGAACCGACCGGGCAGUAGCGACGUCGGUAACCAAACCAACCGUCAGGUACAAACUCGAACCAAAACCGACCGGGCAGCAGCGACUCCGGGAACCAGAACUUCGACUGGAACCAACUGAACCAGAACCGACCAGGCGGCGACAACCUGCCCGACCUGGAGAGCAACCUCGGGAGUAACGUGAACCGACCGCAGAACCGGCCGCUCGGCGGCGACGUCGGCAGACCGGGCCAGAACGAGGGGUUGGGACUCCCAGCAGCGGGGGUGGCCGCGGCCGGACUCAACCGACCCAACCGACGUCGGACGACAACAACAACAUCGACGACUCCGGCGCCGACCGCAAGCACGACGCCUUGCUCAUGCGCCACCUCCCCACAGUAUGAUCCCGUCUGCGGCACCAACAACCAGACCUACAACAACGAACGCGCCCUCGAGUGCGCCCGGAUCUGCAACCGAGCACCCGGUGUCCAGACUGCUUACCAAGGUGCUUGUGUAGAAAGACCACGGGUAUAGACAUUAUUCUUGGUACUAUUCUCAGACUGAUUAUUGACUUCUACAGACAAAACGAUAGACGAAGAGGAAGAAGGGGAGAUGAAGUUAUCCUAUUGGUAGAAUCAGGCGGUGGUAAUAGACAAUAGUGAUAAACUAACUCAUGGCACCUCACCAGAGACCCUGUAGUUACCCAGUAGUAAAACAGAAUGUUUUCCUAGAAAAAAAAUAUAACCCUCUAUUGCAUAUGUCUACAAAUAUGUCAUUUUGUGUAUUUUCAUUUUUUAAAAAUUCUGUACGCGCGCAAAAUUGUUUCUGAAUGUACCUACGCAAGCCCAAGGUUGAAUUCUAUUGGUUAAAAAUGGCGGGACCCACUCCAGUGUUGCAAAAUUAAGUUAAAAACGUGUUUUAAUUCGGCAACCGCGGUCAACGGAGGUCGGCUCCGCUUACACAUUUUUGGCGCAGGAUUUAGGUUACUUAGAGUGGUCGUAUGACAAUGAAGAAAAUAUGUGCAUUUGCACCAUACGUUCUAGUUUUUUUAUGUGACAACAGAAAAUAUUACAUGCAAAACGGGCUUUUAAUAAAUUAAUUUAAAGUCAAAUAACAUAAAUGUCAUUCCAUGCAACUAGCUCUGGUGGCAAAAACGGCAAAUUACAUAUAUGUCAUUCCAUGCAACCAACUGUGGCCAAUAAAAAUAAACAUAUAGCUAAUAUUCACCCAUAAUUUGAUUUAUGCCGGCAAAAAUAGUGUUCUCCUAAUAUCUAAUCUCUCCUAAGACUGAUAUUUCCUUUUUUUUCAAUGAAAUGUACGUACGCAUGUACUUCAUGUAACAUCUCUUUUUUAGGUUUUCACCAAAGUCGCAUGGAAUGACAUAUAUGUAAUUUCUCUUUUUACUUUUUUUAUCAAAGUUGCAUGGACCAACAUAUAUGUAACUACCACUUUGGGGGGCCAUUUGGGGGGAGAGAGCCCCUUCCCACCCAAAAAAAAAUUUGGGACUCUAUUUUUUUCAAAGAUCUUUCAGAAAAAAUUUUGUAUUUCAGAAUCCGUGAUCCAAAAUUAAUUCAUGCAGUAGAGGGUUAAGAAAACUUCUAGAAAAUACCAAGAAAAUGAGAGUUAUCUAGAAAAUAGAAAGAAAAAACAUUGCGAGUCAAAAGUCUGACCAAAGAAAAUAGAUCUAUUUCAUAGGUCUACUUUCUGUCAACUUUCCAUUUGGAAAAAAGAUAGAAAAUUUAUUGAAAGUAGAAUUAUUUUCUAGCCAAUUUCUUAAUGUUUUCUUUUAAGAAAAUGCAAGGAAAAAUGUUUUUUCUUUCUAUUUUCUUGUGUCUAUUUUCUUGAUCUACUUUAUACCUAUUUUCUUUCAAGAAAACUGUUCUAUCCAGAAAGUAGACAUUUUCUCGAUGAGCGCCUCCUAGAAAGUAGAUGACAAUUCUACUUGGGUAGUCUCAAAUUUUCUCCUACAACAAACACACAUUUCAACGGAUAGUAUCACUCAAUUUUCAUUCCCUUAAUCCUCGUUGUCUAUCAAUUUCAAUAAUCAACCCGCUGGUUCUGAUUCUAACUGAGAGGAUAAAUACUUAUACCGUGCUUCGGAAGUUUACCAGUCGUCGAGGAGGCAUUGAAUGCUGAAGUUUUGGUAAUUUUUCUUCAAGCUUUUAAAGUCCCAUAGCAUGUAAUGCAUCAACCGACUAUGUAGAUUUUAAAAUAAAAUGAAUAAAUAACAAAAUAAAGAUAAAUAAUUGCCUGACACCCAAGUGAAAAUACCCUUUCUAAUUUCUACGUUCGCAAGGAACUAUCUACAUAUCUGUGCUUCCUCCCUUGUUAGAUGUAAGAGGAGAGUUUUGACGAAGACAUAGUUAGGUUCAAACUGCAUCUAGUAAACUUCAGAAGUUUGUAAAGGAUUCGUCGUAGAAGGAAGAUGGAGAUGACGAAUCCUGUUUCACUUGUCAAAGAAAUGCUCUCAGCUUAAAUGGACUACAUUAUGCUGGAAGGAACUGCAAUUUUUGGCUCAUUUUAGAAACAAUGAUGUGCCAUUAGGUUCUCUAUGCAGAUAGAUCCUUUUACGGAUGGGUCAAAAAUUUUAGUUCUUUAGUGGCAAAAUGUAGUCCAAAUGCUGGCCCCCGCAAUUUUAAAACCCCUCGAUGUUGCUUAGGUAUAAAUCAUUGUACAAUCGGACGUAUUUCUGUCAAACGGAACUAUGUGCAGUAUGAUGUGAGCCCUGUUAUGCCUACAUUCUUAUGGGUCUCAGGGCUCAUGGCUUAAUGCACAUCGUUCCGUUUGGCAGAAAUACGUCCAAUUUUCCUUAGGCCAUUGAAAGCUUAAAAAUAUUCUGCUGUGUAUACGUUAAAAGGGGGUGAGAUACUUUUAGAACACGCCUGUAUUUGCAGUGAACCUGAACUAAGUUCCUACUCUUUCACGGUAUGGAUCAGAUCUAUCAUCAAAGUUUUUAAUUGAUUACUAUUCAAAGUUGAAUCUCGAGUGUUAUAUUUUUUCAUUGUUGUCAGUAAAACAUUGUAUCAAAUAAAUUGUAUAAACUGAAAUUGACUGUGGCGUGUUUCUUUACUUGUGGGAAAUCAGUCAAGGGCCUGUUCUUCAGCUGCGUGUAAAA
rnacentral:lncRNA from 1 species